AUUGAACGCUGGCGGCAUGCUUUACACAUGCAAGUCGAACGGUAACAGGUUAAGCUGACGAGUGGCGAACGGGUGAGUAAUGCAUCGGAACGUGCCCGGUCGUGGGGGAUAACACUUCGAAAGAAGUGCUAAUACCGCAUACGAUCUGAGGAUGAAAGCGGGGGACCGUAAGGCCUCGCGCGAUCGGAGGGGCCGAUGACAGAUUAGGUAGUUGGUGGGGUAAAGGCCUACCAAGGCGACGAUCUGUAGCGGGUCUGAGAGGAUGAUCCGCCACACUGGGACUGAGACACGGCCCAGACUCCUACGGGAGGAAGCAGUGGGGAAUAUUGGACAAUGGGCGGAAGCCUGAUCCAGCCAUGCCGCGUGUGUGAAGAAGGCCUUUUGGUUGUAAAGCACUUUAAGCGAGGAGGAGGCUCUUAAGGUUAAUACCCUUGAUGAGUGGACGUUACCCGCAGAAUAAGCACCGGCUAACUCUGUGCCAGCAGCCGCUGUAACAC
rnacentral:rRNA from 1 species